rnacentral:rRNA from 1 species
GACAGAGGGUGCAAACGUUGCUCGGAAUCACUGGGCGUAAAGCGCACGUAGGCGGACUCUUAAGUCGGUGGUGAAAUCCUGGAGCUCAACUCCAGAACUGCCUCGAUACUGGGAGUCUCGAGUCCGGGAGAGGUGAGUGGAACUGCGAGUGUAGAGGUGAAAUUCGUAGAUAUUCGCAAGAACACCAGUGGCGAAGGCGGCUCACUGGCCCGGUACUGACGCUGAGGUGCGAAAGCGUGGGGAGCAAAC